UUAGGUUUUCAAUUCAAGUAUCUCCUGGAGAUUGAAGUGAAAACCAGAGUACCAGAGAGAGAGAAAGAAACGACGAGUUGUUGUUGAUUCAGUAGAGAGAGAGAGAGAGAGAGAGAGAGAUCGAAGAAGAACGACCUAGCUCGCAGAAAAAGACAGCACGAAUUCGAACUCCAAAGCACUUUUUCUCUAUCUCUAUAUAUAUGUAUGUAUAUAUGUGUGUGUUUAUAUGAUUUGAAUUGGGUUUUUGGUAAAUUGGCCCCCUAAAUGUUUUUGUUGUGGGUAUGUGAUUGAGUUUGUUCUGAUUUGUAUUUGAAAAAAUCAGGAGAGAAAUUAGAGAAAGAAAACAAGGCAAAGAAGCUGCAGGCCAAGAAGAAUCAGAUGAAAGUGGAUGGUAGUGACACGAAGAAAAAGAAGAAGUGUGCAAGUGGAUUCCAAGUUGGGAAGAGAAAAGUGAAGACCAAGUUGACAGCAUUGGCAAAAGCAAAGGCUGCCCAAGCGAUGGAGCUUGACAAACGAGGUUCUACUUUGAGUCACUGAGGCAUUAGCUAACUUCAGGAUAUGUAACUUUGAAGGAAAAGGUUCAUCUUUACCUCUGUGCUCUUUGACAAUUUCUUCUCUAGUCACUGGUUCCUAUGAAAUUAAUAUUCUCCAUUAUACUGUUUUUCAUUAAUAAUGUGAAUAUGUGAUUGUUUUUAUAAUUUUGCUUACUGUUUAUGCAGUCAAUUUUGUGGCUGGACAGUGUGUGUCUUUUCCCUUAACAACGAAGUUGAAAAUUGUGAGUGUUGAGUGUGAA